GUUUAUGUAGUUUAAUAAAAACAAAUUAUUUUCAAUAAUUAAAAAAAAUAUUUUUCUUAAACU
rnacentral:tRNA from 1 species